GGAGGAAUAUUGGUCAAUGGGUGCAAGCCUGAACCAGCCAUCCCGCGUGAAGGACGACUGCCCUAUGGGUUGUAAACUUCUUUUGUAUAGGGAUAAACCUACCCUCGUGAGGGUAGCUGAAGGUACUAUACGAAUAAGCACCGGCUAACUCCGUGCCAGCAGCCGUCGGUAAUACGGAGGGUGCAAGCGUUAUCCGGAUUUAUUGGGUUUAAAGGGUCCGUAGGCGGACUUAUAAGUCAGUGGUGAAAGCCUGUCGCUUAACGAUAGAACUGCCAUUGAUACUGUAAGUCUUGAGUAUAUUUGAGGUAGCUGGAAUAAGUAGUGUAGCGGUGAAAUGCAUAGAUAUUACUUAGAACACCAAUUGCGAAGGCAGGUUACCAAGAUAUAACUGACGCUGAGGGACGAAAGCGUGGGGAGCGAACA
rnacentral:rRNA from 1 species